rnacentral:ncRNA from 1 species
UCCCUGGUUGAUCCUGCCAGUAGUCAUAUGCUUGUCUCAAAGAUUAAGCCAUGCAUGUCUCAGUGCAAGCCCGCAUUAAGGUGAAACCGCGAAAGGCUCAUUAAAUCAGUUGUGGUUCCUUAGAUCGUACCCAAGUUACUUGGAUAACUGUGGUAAUUCUAGAGCUAAUACAUGCCGACAGAGUUCCGACCGUCGCGGCGCCCUCGGGCGUCGCUCGCGGGAGGAACGCUUUUAUUAGAUCAAACCGGCCCGUCGCGGCGCGCUUCGUGCGCGUCCCGAUCGCGGCCCGCGCAAAGACCUGGUGACUCUGAAUAACUUCGAGCUGAUCGCACGGUCUCCGUACCGGCGACGCAUCUUUCAAAUGUCUGCCUAUCAACUGUCCAUGGUAGGGUCCAUGCCUACCUGGGUGGGUACGGGUAACGGGGAAUCAGGGUUCGAUUCCGGA